AGCAACCCAUUCGUGUCAGAGCAAUUAAUGCUCCCGAAAUUUCAAUUGAGCACCCUUUCUCCUUCCCUCGUUGUCUCCGCUGAUCAAACUCUUUCUUCUUCCUUUUUGGCUCUUCUUCCUCGUUUCCUUUUUCUCUCUUGCCCUUUUUCAGUUUCUGAAGGAAGAAUUUCUGUUACGGAAGUGCAAAACUCUAUUUUGCACAACAAAACAGAGGUGCAUUGUGGGACGCUCUGGUUUGCACGAAACAGAGAUGCUUUGCGGGACUUCGCUCAGGUUCACGCAAAAUAGAGGUUUGCAGCACUUCGCUCCGGAUCGCGAAAAUCAAAGUUUCUGAAGGAAGAAUUUCUGUUACGGAAGUGCAAAACUCUACUUCGCACAACAAAACAGAGGUGCAUUGUGGGACGCUCUGGUUUGCACGAAACAGAGGUGCUUUGCGGGACUUCGCUCAGGUUCACGCAAAAUAGAGGUUUGCAGCACUUCGCUCCGGAUCGCGAAAAUCAGAGGUUCUUUUCGGCCCUACUCGUAUUUUGCAUUCGCAAAAGUCUUAGUUUUGUAAAUGAGCUACAUUUCGCUAUUGUUCGAUCUUAUGUAAACUUUUCCCGAUCUUAUAAAUUGUUGUAUGUAAAUCAUGGCACAUUGCUUUGGCACCACCAAUCCGAAUUCCAUCCAUCAACUAAAACUUAGGGUAGUGGGGCGUGGAUGAAGGGGUUUUAGAAGGCGAGCUUAUGCAAGUGAGUUGCUCUUAACAAUUAUGAGGAACCCCAAUGAUGCCUGCCAACUGUUUGCGCAAAGGUCUACGCGUGAAUUGGCUUAGCAAUUGCGAUUGUUUUCACAAAUUGUGGUUAUUUUCACAUAUGAUCUUGCAACCGAAGAAAGGAAAAAAAAAUAAUACCCUUAAACUCAAGCUGUAGUCGCACUGCUCUAUAUAUUUCUUUCUUUCUUUUUCCGUCUGUCAUAAGUGCUGUUGGUUGAUUGAAAAGCUUAGAUUGAGAUUGAAAUUUCAAUAUAGAAGAUAACAGUGCUACAACGAGAUGCAGAUAAGAUUUUUCUUUUUAAAGCUUGCAAAUUAGUGGUUAUGGUAGAUAAACUAAAAGGUUGUUGCUAGAUAGUUUUUGAAAGGUUUCCGGAUAAUUCACGUUCGAUGAUUUCUUUUGCUUGGACUUCAUCUAUUUUUUAUUAUCAUGAUUAUAAGUUUAACUACCUAUGACAUUAUGAUUUUAGUAUGACAUGAUCUUCGAAUACAUUGGUUGAUUUUCCAUCCAAGAUAUGCCCAUGUCCUUGAGGGAGAUUAUGCACGGUCAAAAAAGUGCAAAAGAAUCCUAUAAAUUGAGGCAGAUUAUAUUAUGCCUCAACUUGUAACACAGAUAACUGUCGUGGUUUUGUGCAAUGGGUUGAAGAUUAUGUUGAGGAAUUACGGCUCUAUUCACCGAAAAAUAUUGACGGAGCUGAGUCAGGAGUUGCAUCAAAUGAAAAUGAAGAAAUGGCUAUCAUGAAAAGAGAAUUGAAGUUAAUUAGAAGAAGGAUGGGCUUUUUUAUGUCAAUAAUAGUACUAUAUGGAGUUAUCAUAUCUUUACUUACUAGAAUUGUAAUCUCAAUGUUAUUAUAUAGGUAGUUAUAGGAGUUAUUCAUGAUAAUUCUGUAGAACUUGUUUUUAAUAUGCUGUUGAAGUAAUUUAGAGAAGAAUGAAUUUUUGUCUUUCUCAAAA